GGUGUGUGCUACGAUCGAACAGGAGAAAGGAAAAAGGGGGUGUGAACCCUAAACCUCAAGAAAUCAUCAAAUUGAAAAGGGAAUCAAGGGCUGAUUGUAUGCAUGAACCAAGGAUGAUGAUCCCUUAAGCAUUUCUAACAUUAACGUAGGAGCCAUGUCAACAUGGACACGAGCAUGGAAGGGCAAUGGGUCAACGGUAAAUACGGAAGCUAUGCAUGAACUCGGACGCACGAGGUAGCGUUAGUUAAUUGAGCAUGGUGAUGAUUGAAGUUUGAUAUGGUUUUGGUUGUAUGAAAUCGGUUAUUUUAGCUAAGUAGACCGAACGGGACAAUAUAAAGUUGUAAUGAUAUGACAGAUUGAUGUAAUGCUACGGUAUUGUAACCGGGUAAUGGGUAGAAUUGCACAUAAGUGCGCCAACCGAGAAUGGGGACUUAGGUUAAUGGUCAAAAGACUUAGCUUUUGACCUUAAAUAAAAGAAUGGUUUAACAAAAUACGAACAGGUCGAAUAAAUGUGCAUAAACUUCAUAAUGCUAAUGAAAUGCGUAAAGAUUAAGGACCCGGGUAAGGGCGUUUAGCCCAUAAUGUAAGGACAAGUCUUACAGACAACUAGAAAUAAUUGUGAGCGAUUUGAUUGAGGAAUGUCCGAGAUACGCAAGUUUUAAUAAUAAAAAUAUGAAUGGGUUGAAUAGUCGAAACGAGUAUGUAGAGCCGAAGGCUUUAAGUUAAGAUUUUUCCUUGUUUGGAUGUUAUAUUACAAGCUCAUAUGUUAGAAAAUCGAUUUACCAACGCAUAGGAAAAAGAAUCAUGUUAAUCGGAUUCGUAGAUCAAAAGUUAUGCAAAUUGUAAGUCGAAAAUACCCUUGGAAUUCAUAGCUGGGAAUUUAUAGCAGCAAAUUGGAAGUUUCUGUCGAAAUAGAGCUGUCGCGCCCCGCGAGCGCCAGUCAGCUGGAAAAUUUUGGUUUUCUUGUUUGAUUUUGCAUCCGGACUCGAUGUUUUAAUGAUUUUCGAUGUCCCUUAACUUAUAUUAAAGCCGGUUUGAAACACGAGUGAUGUUAUGAGCCUCCGGAUAAUGAAAGUAUGUAUUUUUCUUCGUGUUAGAGAAGAAAGAUUAUAAGUAAUCGAGACUAGAAAUGAGUGGGCAUGCAGUAUGGUAAGUAUAAAACUUAUAUCACGGAAGUUGUGAUUAUGAUAAGAAAUGCGAGAUUAAGUGAAUAAAAGUAGUAAGCGAGGGCUCGCGUCUAUGUGUGUGUAUGUGAAUGUGUGCGUAUGUAUGUAGGUGUAUAUGUUGUAUGUAUGUAGGAAUUAGGAACGUAUACGUUUGAGGAUGCGAGAUGUUAUAAGUAUAUGAAGGAAUGGUUUGGACUGGUUUCGUUAUGUUCUAGCAUUAAUGUUUGCUAAUCGUGUGUUUGAGAUUGGAAUGAAAUGCAGGUACAUGAACACCGGGUUCAUGAAGUAUCGAAGUCGAAUUCGGAACAAGAAAAUACGAAAGGAUAGUUGAAUGAAUUAAAGUUCCUACUGUUAAAUGUUAUUCAAUAUUGGACUAUAUGAGAAUCAUGUCGUAUGAUAUUGUUAAUGACUAAUGGUUAUGAUGUAUGCGAUGUCCACAGGUAUUGCACGGAUUACCGCUACUACUACCGAAGAUAAGCAAGCGUUGAUCGAGUCACGGAGCAAGUGUUGUACGGAAAUAUGUAUUGUCUUGAAGCGUUAAUUUAAUGUGGUUAUUGUAAAUCCCUUUUGUAAAUGUUUAUCAUUUGUAUUUGAGCCUUCAAGUAAGUAAUGUGUCUAAAUAAGAAAGAAAUUUUUGGGCUCGUAUUUUUCCGCUGUGUCAUAUUUAAGUUCUUACAAGUUGGUCUUACAGGGAAUCGUUCAUUAUACGAAUGGGUCAUGCCCGAAUUUUGUAAAUAAUAAUACUUAUUUUGGAGUAAGAAAUAUGGGCGUUACCAGUUGGUAUCAGAGCCCUGGUUUGAGGGAAAUCAAGUAGAUGGAGGUAAAUACUUGAACUCAAACCCGUGUGCUCUUGUGUCAAGGAACCCGUACAAUCCAAGACUCGAUCAAGGCCUAAGGUUAAAAGCGAAUGUAAGUAUGUAUUAAAUUAUGUAUUUAAAGGAAACUAAUAGUAUGUUAUGUGAAGGAUAAGCGGAAUUGCUUUGAAGGGAUGAUAUGUGAAUGUGGUUUAGGACCGAUACCAAGGCAUGUAAUAAGACAUAUUGACCCAGGUACGUAAAUUUAGCUUAUGGGUGCAUGUAAUGGUAAAAUCUAUCAAGUGAAUGAAAAUUUUGAAUGAAAAAAAAAUAAUAAUGGAAUAGUAAUGAAGUUUUGAAAAUAUUACACGUGUUGAAACCUAAUUCUUCGGACAUAAGGUGGCGAUUACACGAAGACGCGGAACUAGUAUGUGGAUUGCGUGCCUGGCCAGUACACAAGAAACAUAUGACGUUCGUGAGACCGUGAUAAUUGUUACAGGUAUGUCCGUUAGAAUUAGGUAGUAGGUGGACGUGAGGGUGAAGGGAGAUGUAAGACUCUCAAGAAAUUGAAAGUACCUAAUACAAAAGAGAAGUAUGAAUGGCAUGUUUGAAUCCGCGAGACGGAUUCGAAACAUGAAAGGAAUGAAAAGAUAUAAAUGAUAUGUCAGAAUCCGCGAGACGGAUUUGAAAGAUGAAAGGAAUGAAAAGAUGUGAAUGAUAUGUUAGGAACCGCCAGACGGAUUCGAAACAUAGAAGGGAAUGAAUGAUAGAAUGAAAAGUUUGAAUUCGUAAGUAGGUACAAAUCAAAUAAGUAAGAAUGAAUGAUAAGAAUGAAAGGUUCAACUUGUAAGUAAUUACAGACCAAACAAAUAAAUGAUCUUUAAAAAGCAGAUAUUAUCCAAGUUAUUUUUUAAACAUAUAUAUAUAAAUAUAUGAAUAUAUUUUGCUAAUGCGUAGUAUGCAAGAAUGGUUAAAAGGACAAUUGAGUUAUGCAGGUCAAAAGGAGAUUGCCAUUUGCACCCGGUGUUCAACAAAGUAAGUUGAUAGUUAUUAAGCAAGUAAUAGUAAAAUAGCAUGAAAUAGUUGAUUCGCCAAGUAGAUA
rnacentral:lncRNA from 1 species